CCAAUGGCUGUGACGGAUAAGGGGUGUGGAGUGCGGGGACAAUGGGACAGAGCUUCUCAUGCAGCCUGCGCCAGCGCCGGGUCGGAGAGUCAGAGGCCACCCUGAGAUGGACCGAGAUCUUCAGUUGGGGAGGCGCCUCCGGCUUGGUGGCAUGCAUGUUUAGUCCCAGCUACACAGGAGGGAGGCUGAGGCUGAAGGAAUACUUGAGCCCAGGAAUUCAAGACUAGCCUGCACAACAUAGUGAGACCCUGACUUUAAAAUAAAUU